rnacentral:rRNA from 2 species
GACAGAGGUGCCAAGCGUUAGGCGGAAUCACUGGGCUUAAAGCGUGUGUAGGCGGACUCCUAAGUACUUUGUGAAAUCCCACGGCUCAACCGUGGAACUGCUUGGUAUACUGGGAGUCUUGAGCCAGCUAGGGGCUACCGGAACAAAUGGUGGAGCGGUGAAAUGCGUAGAUAUCAUUUGGAACGCCAAUGGUGAAAACAGGUAGCUGGGGCUGUGCUGACGCUGAGACACGAAAGCCAGGGGAGCAAACGGG